rnacentral:rRNA from 1 species
UACGUAGGGGGCAAGCGUUGUCCGGAAUCAUUGGGCGUAAAUAGCGUGUAGGCGGCCCGGUAAGUCCGCUGUGAAAGUCGAGGGCUCAACCCUCGAAUGCCGGCGGAUACUGUCGGGCUAGAGUCCGGAAGAGGCGAGUGGAAUUCCUGGUGUAGCGGUGAAAUGCGCAGAUAUCAGGAGGAACACCGGUGGCGAAGGCGGGUCUCUGGGCAGUAACUGACGCUGAGGAGCGAAAGCGUGGGGAGCGAACAGG